rnacentral:lncRNA from 1 species
GAACACCACUGGGUCCCUGGAUGUCAUGUAAGCCCUUAAGUAAAAGUGCCAUCAAAUGAUUUCUCAGAAAUUAUAAAGAAACAAAAGGACCAUAAACAAGAUAAGGUGGCAUGAGGAAACAUUACAAGUACCUUUCAGAGCUGACUGGCAAAGAAACUCCUGAGGUGACGGUUCUACCCCAAUAUUACUUCUUCGAAGAGCAACC